UGCGCGGCUACCAUGCAGUCGAACGGAAAGGCCUCUUUCGGGGGGUACUCGAGUGGCGAACGGGUGAGUAACACGUGAGUAACCUGCCCUUGACUUUGGGAUAACUUCAGGAAACUGGGGCUAAUACCGGAUAGGAGCUCCUGCUGCAUGGUGGGGGUUGGAAAGUUUCGGCGGUUGGGGAUGGACUCGCGGCUUAUCAGCUUGUUGGUGGGGUAGUGGCUUACCAAGGCUUUGACGGGUAGCCGGCCUGAGAGGGUGACCGGCCACAUUGGGACUGAGAUACGGCCCAGACUCCUACGGGAGGCAGCAGUGGGGAAUAUUGCACAAUGGGUGGAAGCCUGAUGCAGCAACGCCGUGUGCGGGAUGACGGCCUUCGGGUUGUAAACCGCUUUCGCUCAUGACGAAGCUUUGUGUGACGGUAGUGGGUAAAGAAGCACCGGCUAACUACGUGCCAGCAGCCGCGGUGAUACGUAGGGUGCGAGCGUUGUCCGGAUUUAUUGGGCGUAAAGGGCUCGUAGGUGGUUGAUCGCGUCGGAAGUGUAAUCUUGGGGCUUAACCCUGAGCGUGCUUUUGAUACGGGUUGACUUGAGGAAGGUAGGGGAGAACGGAAUUCCUGGUGGAGCGGUGGAAUGCGCAGAUAUCAGGAGGAACACCGGUGGCGAAGGCGGUUCUCUGGGCCUUUCCUGACGCUGAGGA
rnacentral:rRNA from 1 species